GCUAACUCCGUGCCAGCAGCCGCGGUAAUACGGAGGAUCCAAGCGUUAUCCGGAAUCAUUGGGUUUAAAGGGUCCGCAGGCGGUUUAUUAAGUCAGAGGUGAAAUCCURCAGCUCAACUGUAGAACUGCCUUUGAUACUGGUAGACUUGAGUUAUUGUGAAGUGGUUAGAAUGUGUGGUGUAGCGGUGAAAUGCAUAGAUAUUACACAGAAUACCGAUUGCGAAGGCAGAUCACUAACAAUGUACUGACGCUGAUGGACGAAAGCGUGGGGAGCGAACAGGAUUAGAUACCCUGGUAGUCCACGCCGUAAACGAUGGAUACUAGCUGUU
rnacentral:rRNA from 1 species